rnacentral:rRNA from 1 species
GAUGAACGCUGGCGGCGUGCCUAAUACAUGCAAGUCGAGCGAGUGGAUUAAGAGCUUGCUCUUAUGAAGUUAGCGGCGGACGGGUGAGUAACACGUGGGUAACCUGCCCAUAAGACUGGGAUAACUCCGGGAAACCGGGGCUAAUACCGGAUAACAUUUUGAACCGCAUGGUUCGAAAUUGAAAGGCGGCUUCGGCUGUCACUUAUGGAUGGACCCGCGUCGCAUUAGCUAGUUGGUGAGGUAACGGCUCACCAAGGCAACGAUGCGUAGCCGAACUGAGAGGGUGAUCGGCCAAACUGUGACUGACACACGGCCCAGACUCCUACGGGAGGCAGCAGUAGGGAAUCUUCCGCAAUGGACGAAAGUCUGACGGAGCAACGCCGCGUGAGUGAUGAAGGCCUUCGGGUCGUAAAACUCUGUUGUUAGGGAAGAACAAGUGCUAGUUGAAUAAGCUGGCACCUUGACGGUACCUAACCAGAAAGCCACGACUAACUACGUGCCAGCCGCCGCGGUAA